rnacentral:rRNA from 1 species
AUUCGCCCGCCGCGCGCGGCGGGCGGGGCGGGGGCAUGGGGGGACUCCUACGGGAGGCAGCAGUGGGGAAUAUUGCACAAUGGGCGCAAGCCUGAUGCAGCCAUGCCGCGUGUGUGAAGAAGGCCUUCGGGUUGUAAAGCACUUUCAGCGAGGAGGAAGGUGGUGAGCUUAAUACGCUCAUCAAUUGACGUUACUCGCAGAAGAAGCACCGGCUAACUCCGUGCCAGCAGCCGCGGUAAAAUC